GCCUGAUUGGCUCAUUCGGUUAAGCGUCUGCCUUCAGCUCAGGUCAUGAUCCUGGGUUCCUGGGAUCGAGCCCCACAUCAGGCU
rnacentral:tRNA from 1 species